rnacentral:rRNA from 1 species
UGCCCUAUGGCCUGGAAUAACACGAGGAAACUUGUGCUAAUACCGGAUAAGUCUUUACGGAGAAAGCUUUAUGCACCAUUGGAUGAGCCUGCAUUUGAUUAGUUUGUUGGUGGGGUAAUGGCCUACCAAGACUUUGAUCAAUAGCUGAUUUGAGAGGAUGAUCAGCCACAUUGGGACUGAGACAGGCCCAAACUCCUACGGGAGGCAGCAGUGGGGAAUCUUGCACAAUGGAGGAAACUCUGAUGCAGCGAUGCCGCGUGAGUGAAGAAGGCCCUUGGGUUGUAAAGCUCUUUCGUCGGGGAAGAAAAUGACUGUACCCGAAUAAGAAG